ensembl:lncRNA
CCUUAGUCAUAUAUGAGCCUGUUGAACUGGUAUUCAAUUAAAGGUAUAUAAAGCAAUAUUUAACAUUUUGUAGGUUAAGAAAAUUAAAGUUAAUAUCAGUUAGAAGGAAAUUCCCAAUUCAGUAUCCUAUAUUAACCCUCAUAGGAAAAUCAAGGAACAAAGGAAUUUUAAAUGUUGAAGCAGGUGUGAUCCAUGACGAGAACGAGAGGAAAUAACAGUCUUCGUAUCACACAACUCCCGAAAUUCAUCUCAGAAUUACCCCCAGUGGACUUAUCCUCAUAUCCCAUUGGCUGGAAUCUCAUCUCCAUCUGUACUCACAUCACCAGUAACACCAAUGGGAUUGCCAUGACUUGAAGACCUGGUGGUCCUGCAGGCCUGAGAUACUGAACACCCACUUUGAUGGACUCCACCACAAUCAAGGGCAGCUGCUGGCCCAGCCGAGGGCUCUUCUUCAGGCGCUCACCAGAGCCUUUCCUGAUGGGCCUCCAGCCUCCUCGGUUGAACUCAUCUCUGCGUGGUGAGCUAUGGGACCCUCAUGCUGCUGACACUGCAGGUCAGCCCCACAGGAUAUUCACUCUUGGGCCGCCAUGCCCAGCUCCAAGCUGCUCAUCCUGGUUUGCCCUCCCUCUGUAUCUAUUCAUCAAUAACUACCCCCAACCCCUAGCAAUCAUCAGUCUACUGUCUGUCUUUGUGUCUCUGACUACUCUAGAUACCUCAUAGAAGUGGGAUCAUACAAUAUUUAUCCUUUUGUAUCUGGUUUAUUUCACUUAGCAUGUCUUCAGGUUCAUGCAUCUUGUAGCAUUUAUCAGAGUUUCUUUCCUUUUAAAGGCUGGAUGAUAUUCCACUGUAUUUAUUUAACCAUCAUCAAAGGCCUGAUACAAAGAGCCAACUCAUUAGAAAAGACCCUGAUGCUUGGAAAGAUUGAGGGCAGGAGGAGAAGGGAGUGACAGAAGAUGAGAUGGUUGGAUGGCAUCACCAAGUCAAUGGACAUGAGUUUGAGCAAACUCCAGGAGAUAGUGAAGGACAGGGAAGCUUAGCAUGUUGCAGUCCAUGGAGUUGCAAAGAGUCAGACAUGACUUAGCAAAUGAACAAGCAUUCAUUAAAGGACACAGGUUGAUUCCACCUUUUAGCUAUUGCAAAUAAUGCUGCUGCAAACAUGGAUGUAUAAAUACCUCUUCAGGACCCUAUUUUCAAUUCUUUUGAGUAUAUACCCCAAAGUGGAAAUGCUGGAUCAAAUAAUGUCUCUCUUUUAAGGAGCCACUGCACUAUUUUCCAUAGUAGCAGCAUCAUUUUUUAAAAAAGUUUUAUUGGCUAAACUAUUGCAAGUUAUAGAUAUUAUUUUGUGUGUGUGUGUGCCGAGUCUUACUUGUGGCACAUAGGAC